rnacentral:tRNA from 1 species
GGAGAGGUGGCUGAGCGGUCGAAAGCGGCGGUCUUGAAAACCGUUGAGGAGCAAUCCUCCGGGGGUUCGAAUCCCUCCCUCUCCGCCA